rnacentral:lncRNA from 1 species
AUGAGCUGGAGAGACACAUCCUUCAGGAAAAGCAGCUUCCUCCAGGUGUCCUGUCAUUUAUUUGGGCACCAGUGUGUCAAACAUGAUGUCCCAUCUGGCUUCCUUAAGUUUUUGAGAGCAGUAAAAUCAGUGCAGAGUAAGAGGGAGCUGAGCCUCAUGGUGUUCUCUCUUCUGAACCUGCAGGUGGCCUCAGAACUAGUGACAGCGAUUGGGCGGUGGAGAAUAUUGAGGAUGAAAUUCCUGAAGAGGAAGAAACCUCAGGUCCGGAAGCACAAUGAGGCGGGAAUCAACAGGAGGGGGUCCCUGGUGCAGUUGGAGUAUACCUGCUACUUUGUAGACUGAGUGGGCGGGAUGAAAUAAAGACGACGAUGUAUAGGAAUGCGAUUGUUUUGUUUUUCAUUUACUUGUUUACUUAUUUGAGAGAGGAAGAGGAGAAUGGGAAGGGCAGAGGGAGAGGGAUAUUCAGACCCCGCACUGAACAGGGAGCCUGAUACAGGCCUGAUCCCAGGGUCCUGGUAAUGAUCCAAGCUGCAGUCAGACACUUAACCUACUGAGCCACGAAGGUGCUCUUCUCUGGUCUAUUCCAUCAUAAACAGUAGGGUAUUUGGAUAAAAUAGUAAGAAGAAUUCUGCCCUGGGAUUGGAUUGUGCAGUUGGUCAUAUUCUUCUUUUUAUUUGAUGGUCAUUCUCUGCAGACCAGCUCUGACUCCCUUUGUCAGUGGCAAGCAUCAAAGCCCUUGUUGAUGUUUGGUUAGCACCUCUUGGGAAUAGAGCAGGAGACCUUUUGGUUCGGGUUAUUGCCUUUGGUCUUGGAUGGAGCCAAUCUCUUGAUACACAGCUGUGCCACGCCCAUCUGAACUUGCACACAGACUACUUCCGUGGGAGCCAGUCGCUGGUACAGCCGGGGCCCCACUCCCUCUGCACCUACAGGUCACACAGUAGCAAUGCUGGGCUACCCUCAGUUCUGCCCAGAGGGUGGAAGUGCACUCUAGGGAUGGGCAUCCCUGAAAUGGUCCCUCUCAGCACCUCCUCCUGGGUCCAGCAGAAGUGAGGUGGGAGGGGUGCCGGGAGCACAGUUCCCUCCUCCCCUCCUUGCACAAUCCUCAGUCCUGGGACAAGAAUAAAAUCUGCACUUGCCUCUGUGUGAGAAGGGAUCGAGUGCGGCCAGCCAAGGCCUUCACUGGUGCAGGGAAUCUAGAGGAAUCUGUGAAAGCUGCUGGGCUGGCGGCACACGCUUGCGCUCAAGGUCCUGCAGAACUAGUCUCCUGGUCUGACCAGGCCCAGGACACAGGCCCUAGGCAGGGAGGCGAGCAUUUCUGCUCCUGUCUGAUCUCACUGCUAUAGCCACACAGUGCUGGGCCUGCUCCCCACGUCAAGGGUUGGCCCAGCCUAGGACAUUCCCUCAUGCCUGCCUGGAGCCCAUGGCCCAGUCCUUCCAGGGAUCAGGGCAGAUGCUGGCUCGAGCUGGUAUUGAGGAGGCCUCACCUGCUGUACAAACCCCAUCAGCCCACUUUUAAGCUAAGGGAAAUUGGGCAACAUAGUUUACCUCUAGCAUCACAUUCAUCUCCUCUAUGGGCUACGACAUGUAUGGGCUGUUCCAAAAAUUCAGUGUGUCCCAGAUUUAGGAGUCUCAUGGUUUGUCUCCCUCUCUAAUUUUUCCCACUCAAUCCCCCUCCUUUCCCUCAUUAUCUUGUUCCUAUUUCUUAUAUUCCAGGAGGAGAGCACUUGAUGGCAUGAGCACUGGGUGUUACAUUAUAUGUUGGCAAACUGAAUUUACCUAAGCAUAAAUAAAAAUGUUUAAAAAAGAAUAAAGGUUAAGUUUGUCUCAAGUACCUAGGAUCACCCCACGCACAAAGCAGUCACAUUAUAAGCCCAGUGGGAUAUCACUCUCAGGGCCACAUGCAACCCCAAACCAUAGGCCCCCAGGCCCA